GCACGAGCGAGGCCUGGGUGAGCCUGCAGCCCCAGCACACCACAGCUUGUCUCCUGAAAGUUUCUUCACCGCUUUUCUCAGGAACACGCAGAAUGGAAAUAGGAGCUCCUGCCAGGGAAUUUCCACCCCGAGUCGGGAGUCCCAGAGCCCAGCUGUUUCCACGUAAGGCUGCAGCUUGUGAGGACCGAGCAUUGCCCCCGGGCCUGGACGCAGCCAGGUUUUCUUCCAGGCAGGUCUGCAGGAGGCAGAGGAGAGGCGUGCUCUGCAUGCGAGGCCCUUCAGCCUGCGACCACAGCUCAGCCCAGCCCCUGAUGGACCUCUCCUGCUCCAAACCCUGCGGAGAAGCAG